rnacentral:lncRNA from 1 species
UUGUCCAUAGGAGGCGUGCUCCACAUCUUUCUUCUCUUCCCCAAGCCAAAGGGAAGAAUCCCUUUCUCCUCUCUUCUCCAGCCAGCCUACUCCCUCCUCCCUUCCUUCCCCACUCCUCCCUAGGUGCCUCCUUGCUGCACCACGCCCUUCACCAUCUCCAUGGCUGCCCUUUCAUUCAGGGCUUUGAGGAAGAAGGAAAUGAGACAAGAAGAGGGAGAACAAGAAAGCUUCCCAAACUUUUCCCUUCACCAAAUCUUUGUGAUUUGACCAUAGAGGUGAGUUUCCCCAUCAUUUAUGAUCUCUCACCCUCUAUUAGUGAUGAUUCAUGGAGCAUAGGGUUAGGACUAGAAACCUUUGUGAAGGAAUUGGGGAAAAAGUUGUUCAUGCUGUUGUUUCUGUGCGUUCAGAUCUGGAACCCAGCAAUUUCAAGUUCCUAUAUGGCACAAUUAGGUGGGGGUCAUGUGGAAUGUUUUGUAGGUAUUGUUCCCACAAUCUUUUUGAGUGGUCAUUCACUCAAUUUGGUUCAGCCGUUUAGCCGGGGCGAUAAAAACAAGUUGCUGCUCUGUUUCUGCAAAACAACAUUUCUAUAGUUUUUGCCCAUAGCUUUUCAGGAUCUUCGAGGGCUGAUAAAUUGAUGCUAUUCAAUGGUAUAGCUACCUGAUACCUUUUAGUUCAUAGAUCAAUUUUAUUUACUUACUCCCCAUGAGUAUUGGUCUUGCUAUGGAUUUCCAAAGGCGGCUACUCCUUAUUCCCGAAUCUGAAAACAGCAGAGAUGUUUUUGCUGGUUUUGACCCCCAUAAGCUCAUAAUCUGAGGUUGAAUAGUUGGAGUUAUUUGUAGAUGAGGUCCCCAUAAAUCCAUAGCCAUCUCGCUUGCAUGUUUUAGAGCUUCCUAGCUUGAGCUAUGAUUUUUUCCGUGAAGGGACAGCAAAGGGUUGCUUCCCAGGAAUGCGAUUAGGCACGUUUUUGUGUGUGCUUUACAUAGCUUGUUUUGAUGCAAUCUUUAAAACUUGUAUGUAUGUCUCUACAGCAGGUUGCAGCACCAAUCCAGCGGUGAUAGCCUCGCACCACCUCCCUCACAACGGUUGAUGCGAGUACACCGGGCAACAAGAGCUAGAUUGCUCCCUUAAUAUUAUGUUCAUGUUCACGUUAUUCCUUUACAUUCAUGCAAUGGUGAACAUACAACUCCCUAGUGUACAUUUCAAUACACCAUACCACUAGUAUGUGAUAGGGAUUGGUUUUUCUUGGUUCUUGAUAACAAAUCCAUCAUGAGUGAAUCUUCCAAGUUCAAAGAGUGAUCCACGCUUCGCGAGCGUAUGGUCCUUCGGGUCCGUCCUCAUGUUAUGGUCCUCUCACUUGGUGAGGGUUGAAAAGGAGUGAGGUGAGACGUCGCCCCUCGUCAGCUUGCUGGCAAAAGCUCAAAGCCAAGUCCUCGGUCUUAUUUGGUUUAAUUGUUUCUUCUUGCAUUCUCAUGCUAUUCCAAGCAUGGGAGGUUUGAGUAUAGGAUUCACCUUUUCAAGAAUAGUUCAUAAACAUGGUCUUACUUGCUAUGCUUUACAUGCUUUGUUGUGUACUUGCUGAGUCUUUCGACUCACCCCUCGUGGACUUUGUUUCAGGUACAUCACCAUGAGGCUUUGCAAGUAGUAGGAAGGGUGUAGCUCCCAUGGGUGUCCACUCACACAUUUCACACCCCUUCCAUCCACCUAGCUGAUCAUGAUAACUCUCGUACUUAGGUCCAUGAUUCUAAAUAGCUAGGAUCUACGUGUUGUAUAUAAACUUUGCCUUGGUUUGUUCCCAUGACCUUUGUGCUUACGUGUCAAGGUGGGUUGAAGUUUGUUAGUCCCCACCUAGUAUCAUGCAUGCUUGGAACGUGUGUUUCCUUCGUUAUGUGUGGCAUAACGGUUUGUGGUUUCACCACUGUGCUCUAUAUGGGUUAUAUGAUCUUGUAAAUGUUUCCGCUUGUGAUAUUGUAUAAGCUCUGUUUAUUCAAUUGCCUGUCGUGGAUGUCCGACAGUACAAAGGAGGUGUUGCCGGAUUUUCCCAUGGGCAUGUUUGGUUUGCUUGUAUUCUUGGUGGUAACAUUCCUUCUUACAAGGAGGGGUGUUAUAGUUGGUAUCAAUUAAGCUCUAUCUUUGCUAUACUUGCGUAAGCAUGUAGACCAAUGAAAGAUCCUAGGACCUUAGAAAUACUUGCUUGCUAGAUGUAAUUGUUUGCUUGUUAGUAUAAAACAAAAUUGAUGAGGGUGUCAAUUCUUUUGAGAUUGGGUGAAAUACACCAAUGCUCUUACUAGUAUGUUGUUAGGUUCUUUCUAAAUAAAAAACUUGAUUAGAUGGUUAGAAAAACAU